rnacentral:rRNA from 1 species
GUCUCUGACCUUACCAUUCUGAAUGCACUGAUCUCAUUUGAUCUUAGAAGCUAAUCAGAAUUGGGUUAGGUUAGUACCUGGAUGAGAGAAACA